rnacentral:rRNA from 1 species
GUCUAGGUAAGCCUGUGUGUAGAGGAAAGAGGGGAGACAGAGAGAACGAAGUGGCGGUAGCGGUCGCAGUACCGCAGUAGGCAGCGGUGGCCGCUCCAGCACCAGGUGUCGGAGCUUGCCGCGGUGCCUGGGUUAGAAGGGGCAACCUGCGCAGCAGGUAGUGGCGGAGCUUCAAGCAGCCGGAGUGGCACUUUGCGAUGGAGGUUGAUGAAGGGACAGUGAUAGCGCGCGCGGAAGGAGGCGUAGGUUGCAGCAGGCGCACAGGCAGCUUGAGCGGCAGACGGCUGCGGAGGUGGUAGCAGGUGUUGGGGCAGGACUGGCAGCAUGCUGAGGUCGGACUACUUCACCUUGACCAUACACCACAUGUGGCCCUCCUUAGGUACUCGAAUACUAAGUACCUUCUAUACGUUCCUUGUUCACCUGCCAAUGUUCUUGUUGACGAUAUUUCCUAUAUACCGAUUUCUUCUUCUUCUCUUAGUAAUGCGUUGAUGUAGGCGUUUCUCUUUUAGUUGAUACUUCAUACGUUCUGGCACACCUGUUCACCUG